CGCAGUCUGAUCUUAAUCUUUCUCUCUGUGUUUGUGCAAAGAUGAAGUUUUGAGUUAAUGAUACACUGGAUUUGCAUCAAUUUCACAACAAGACCAAAUAAAAAAGGAGGAGGAUGGAGGAUGGAGUUAAGCUGCAGCCCUGUUUAAAAGCUACUUUCUAUAUCAAACAUCUGCCCAUGAAACAAGUGAAGCCCUGAAGUGUUACUGUGGAGGUCUGUCGUACUGCCCAAACUCUGUGGAGUUCUGCCAUGGCUUUAACAAUGUCUGCAGCACUGUCUUCCUUCAUGCAAAAUCUACGCCCAGAUAUUCCAAAGGUUGCAUGAAGUCAAAUGUCUGCAGGACAGUGACUCGGCCUGGUGUAUUAUCUAUCCAUUGCUGCUCAACUGAUCUGUGCAACAGAUACUAAUGCCUGUAAACAUGUAUACUGUCAUGUAGUGUGCAUUCUGGUGUUCUCAUAAUAAAGAGCAGUUUAUUUCA